rnacentral:sRNA from 1 species
ACAGAGAAACAAGUACAGUUUCGAUAAAUACAAUAAAUAACACAUCAAGUGAUAGUCUUACGAAAGCUUAUCAAGUUUCCCUUCGUCAAUGAAUAAUUGAAGAGUAAAAGACCAGUACGCUAGUACAUAAAGACCUGUUUAUAAGUAAAUUUGGUGUUAGAAGCUACGUAACAAAGGCUCAUAGCUCAGUUGGUUAGAGCGCUACACUGAUAAUGUAGAGGGUCGGCAGUUCAAAUCUGCCUGGGCCUACCAAUAGAAGAGGGCGUAAGCAAGGGGUUACGAAGCUGUAAAACGGAAGCUUACGACAAGAGAAUAAACAGGGGGAUUAGCUCAUUUGGUAGAGCACCUGCCUUGCACGCAGGGGGUGAACGGUUCGACCCCGUUAUCCUCCACCGGUUGAAAGUCAUCAAAGGAUGAUUUUGAAUUAAAGUUCUUUGACAUAGUUGGUAGUAAGAAAUAAAGUAAGAAGAGAACGUGAAGAGCGACCUGUAUUGUGUCGUGUUUGCUAUGAAAAUAGUGGACAUAACAAGGUCAUAAGAUAAGGAAGCGAAAUAAGGGCGCAUGGGGGAUGCCUAGGCUUUGGUAGGAGACGAAGGACGCGGUAAGCUGCGAAAAGUCAAGGGGAGCUGCAUACAAGCGUUGAUCCUUGAAUGU